rnacentral:rRNA from 1 species
CGGGGGGAGCAAGCGUUGUUCGGAUUUACUGGGCGUAAAGGGCGCGUAGGCGGCCUCCGCAAGUCAGUUGUGAAAUCUCCGAGCUUAACUCGGAAAGGUCAACUGAUACUGCGGGGCUAGAGUGCGAAGGGGCAACUGGAAUUCUUGGUGUAGCGGUGAAAUGCGUAGAUAUCAAGAGGAACACCUGCGGCGAAGGCGGGUUGCUGGGCCGACACUGACGCUGAGGCGCGAAAGCUAGGGGAGCGAACGGGAUUAGAUACCCCGGUAGUCCUAGCCUUAAACGAUGAAUGCUUGGUGUCUGGGGUUAUAUAGUCCCCGGGUGCCGUCGCUAACGCUUUAAGCAUUCCGCCUGGGGAGUACGGUCGCAAGACUG